AGACAUUCAAAAGAGACGAUAAGAAACAAAUUCAAAUAUGGGGUUAAGAGACACACAAGUGAAGAUGCAUUUUUGUUUGGAGGGGAAGCUGCAAAAUGCAUCACUCUUUACCUAUGUAGCCAAAAAGUCUUGCACGGGCCACAAUUAGCAUACUCCCUAGAGAGGACAGUUUACAACAAUGCAAGUUUCUUUAUUAAAGGCUGUAUUUGUGAUAGCAAGC